AGAGGUCCAGGUGUUCACAAAAAUUAACUAUUUUCAGUGUCAAUACAUUGAACAUCAGUACAGGACAGAAUUUGCAGUCAAUCUGGAAUAGACAUUCGCGAAUUCCAAUUUUGAUUCUAACUUUCAACAUGACUACUUGUACAACUAAAGAAAAAACAACAGUAAAGACAAAAGAUACAGUUACUGUAGAUAGUAAUGUCACCAAGGCAAGAGAAACAAAGCACACCCAUGAAGUUUAUAAGGAGUUUCAAUCCGAGUUGUCUGAAAACCAAAAUCUUAAGGAGGUUGUGGCUGUUAUGAAAAAAGAAUUGCCAAGCGAAAAUACCCUGAAAGAUCUAGAUGAUCUGAAAAUUGCUUUAGAGGAAAAGGACAAACUUUUACAAAGUAUACUCGAUGAAAAGUUCUUAAUCGAGUCGGAUAGAGAUCAUUUAGACGAGAAAAUCAAUGAGCUUAAAGAGGAAAUUAAGAAGAAAGAUGAAGAAAUUUUGAAACUUCGACAGAAAAUAAAAAAGUUCGACAAGUUCCGACAGGAAAUGCUAAGCGAGAACCAAAAAACUCGCGAAGAACUCACCGGGAAACUUGAUAAGGUGACUGGUGAUUUGGAAUUCAUGCGCGAUGAAUUUAAGUUCAUGCACUCAGCGAUGAACGAGCUGCUAACGGGUGCAAAGAAAAACAAAAAGGCGAAACCAGGAUGGAAUGGUUCUUCGAAUACUCAGAGCAAAAGAACAAAUUAGAGUUAUUUUUUUUUCUGUAUUUUCCUUUUUUCUUAAUUCAAUAAUACUAAAAGCGGUUGAAAUUGUGACAACAACUAAUCAGUCCCACGAAUGAAAAAGUUAACUAUAUACAUAUAUAUCAUUUAUUUUGACCAGUUUUGCUUUUAAACGGAAUAAAAGUAUUAUGAAUUCUU